rnacentral:rRNA from 5 species
UUGUUGGGUAGGGGAGCGUUCUGUAAGCCGUUGAAGGUGACCUGUGAGGGUUGCUGGAGGUAUCAGAAGUGCGAAUGCUGACAUAAGUAACGAUAAUGCGGGUGAAAAACCCGCACGCCGGAAGACCAAGGGUUCCUGUCCAACGUUAAUCGGGGCAGGGUGAGUCGACCCCUAAGGCGAGGCUGAAAAGCGUAGUCGAUGGGAAACAGGUUAAUAUUCCUGUACUUGGUGUUACUGCGAAGGGGGGACGGAGAAGGCUAGGCUGGCCGGGCGACGGUUGUCCCGGUUUAAGCGUGUAGGGGGAGUGACCAGGUAAAUCCGGUUGCUUAUCAACCCUGAGGCGUGAUGACGAUGCACCACGGUGCAGAAGCAGUUGAUGCCAUGCUUCCAGGAAAAGCCUCUAAGCAUCAGGUAACAUUAAAUCGUACCCCAAACCGACACAGGUGGUCAGGUAGAGAAUACUCAGGCGCUUGAGAGAACUCGGGUGAAGGAACUAGGCAAAAUGGUGCCGUAACUUCGGGAGAAGGCACGCUGGCGUUAGGUGAAAGGACUAGCUCCUGGAGCUGAAGCCAGUCGCAGAUACCAGCUGGCUGCAACUGUUUAAUAAAAACACAGCACUGUGCAAACACGAAAGUGGACGUAUACGGUGUGACGCCUGCCCGGUGCUGGAAGGUUAAUUGAUGGGGUCAGCCGCAAGGGGAAGCUCUUGAUCGAAGCCCCAGUAAACGGCGGCCGUAACUAUAACGGUCCUAAGGUAGCGAAAUUCCUUGUCGGGUAAGUUCCGACCUGCACGAAUGGCGUAAUGAUGGCCAGGCUGUCUCCACCCGAGACUCAGUGAAAUUGAACUCGCUGUGAAGAUGCAGUGUACCCGCGGCAAGACGGAAAGACCCCGUGAACCUUUACUAUAGCUUGACACUGAACAUUGAGCCUUGAUGUGUAGGAUAGGUGGGAGGCCUUGAAGUGUGGACGCCAGUCUGCAUGGAGCCAACCUUGAAAUACCACCCUUUAAUGUUUGAUGUUCUAACUCGGCCCCAUGAUCUGGGGUGAGGACAGUGUCUGGUGGGUAGUUUGACUGGGGCGGUCUCCUCCCAAAGAGUAACGGAGGAGCACGAAGGUUAGCUAAUCACGGUCGGACAUCGUGAGGUUAGUGCAAAGGCAUAAGCUAGCUUGACUGCGAGAGUGACGGCUCGAGCAGGUACGAAAGUAGGUCUUAGUGAUCCGGUGGUUCUGAAUGGAAGGGCCAUCGCUCAACGGAUAAAAGGUACUCCGGGGAUAACAGGCUGAUACCGCCCAAGAGUUCAUAUCGACGGCGGUGUUUGGCACCUCGAUGUCGGCUCAUCACAUCCUGGGGCUGAAGUAGGUCCCAAGGGUAUGGCUGUUCGCCAUUUAAAGUGGUACGCGAGCUGGGUUUAGAACGUCGUGAGACAGUUCGGUCCCUAUCUGCCGUGGGCGUUGGAAGAUUGAGAGGGGCUGCUCCUAGUACGAGAGGACCGGAGUGGACGAAUCACUGGUGUUCGGGUUGUCAUGCCAAUGGCAUUGCCCGGUAGCUAAAUUCGGAAGAGAUAACCGCUGAAAGCAUCUAAGCGGGAAACUUGCCUCGAGAUGAGUCUUCCCUGGGGCUUAAAGCCCCCUGAAGGAACGUUAAAGACUAUGACGUUGAUAGGCUGGGUGUGUAAGUGCAGCGAUGUAUUGAGCUAACCAGUACUAAUGAUCCGUGAGGCUUAACC